rnacentral:vault_RNA from 1 species
GGGCUGGCUUUAGCUCAGCAGUUCCUUCACUACAGUUUCAACAAUCUCUUUGAAGAGCCACAGCGGUUUGAGACCCGGGGGCGUGCUCUCCAGCCCUUUU